AUUGAUCUGGAGGAGCUAGAGGUGCAUUACUCAUAUUUCAGUGAUUCAUAAUGUUAACCGGAAUACAUGAGGGAAAUGCCUAUCUGCUCGAACAGGGAGUGCAUCAAGGAGCACAUGGACAUUCUGGAGUGAGAUUUGUUAGUGGAAUAAUAUUAAAGUCGAAGGCACUUGCUUUUGAGCGGAUGCUUUUUCGAGCUACAAGAGGAAACAUGUUAUUCAAUCAGGCAUCUGCAGGGGAACCUGUAACUGAUCCCAUAUCUGGUGAAGAGGUAGAGAAAGCUGUUUUUGUAGUUUUCUUCUGGGGAACAAGCAAAAGCAAAGAU